GGGGUUGUAGCUCAGUGGUAGAGCGCUCGCCUAGCAUGUGAGGCCCUGGGUUCGAUCCUCAAUACCACA
rnacentral:tRNA from 1 species